rnacentral:rRNA from 1 species
GACGAACGCUGGCGGCGUGCCUAACACAUGCAAGUCGAACGGAACUGUUUUGAAAGAUUUCUUCGGAAUGAAUUUGAUUUAGUUUAGUGGCGGACGGGUGAGUAACGCGUGAGUAACCUGCCUUCAAGAGGGGAAUAACAUUCUGAAAAGAAUGCUAAUACCGCAUGACAUAUCGGAACCACAUGGUUUUGAUAUCAAAGAUUUUAUCGCUUGAAGAUGGACUCGCGUCCGAUUAGUUAGUUGGUGAGGUAACGGCGCACCAAGACCGCGAUCGGUAGCCGGACUGAGAGGUUGAACGGCCACAUUGGGACUGAGACACGGCCCAGACUCCUACGGGAGGCAGCAGUGGGGGAUAUUGCGCAAUGGGGGCAACCCUGACGCAGCAACGCCGCGUGAAGGAUGAAGGUUUUCGGAUUGUAAACUUCUUUUAUUAAGGACGAAAAAUGACGGUACUUAAUGAAUAAGCUCCGGCUAACUACGUG